CCCUUAGACGUUCUGGGCCGCACGCGCGCUACGCUGACGAAGGCAACGAGCUUUCCUUUACCGAAAGGUACGGGUAAUCUUUUGAAACUUCGUCGUGCUGGGGAUAGAUCCUUGCAAUUUUUGAUCUUAAACGAGGAAUUCCUAGUAAGCGCAAGUCAUCAACUUGCGUUGAUUACGUCCCUGCCCUUUGUACACACCGCCCGUCGCUACUACCGAUUGAAUGGUUUAGUGAGGCCUUCGGAUCCGCGACUCGUUUUGUGGAGAAGUUGGACAAACUCAGUCAUUUAGAGGAAGUAAAAGUCGUAACA
rnacentral:rRNA from 1 species